rnacentral:rRNA from 1 species
CGCGUAGGCGGAAAUGCAAGUCUGGUGUGAAAGACCGCAGCUUAACUGCGGGACCGCGCUGGAAACUGCAUAUCUUGAGUUCCGGAGGGGAAGUUGGAAUUCCUGGUGUAGGGGUGAAAUCUGUUGAUAUCAGGAAGAACAUCGGUGGCGAAGGCGAACUUCUGGACGGAAACUGACGCUGAGGCGCGAAAGCGUGGGGAGCGAACAGGAUUAGAUACCCUGGUAGUCC